rnacentral:misc_RNA from 1 species
GAUGAAGAACGCAGCGAAAUGCGAUAAGUAAUGUGAAUUGCAGAAUUCAGUGAAUCAUCGAAUCUUUGAACGCACAUUGCGCCCGCUAGUAUUCUGGCGGGCAUGCCUGUCCGAGCGUCAUUUCAACCCUCAAGCCCCCGGGCUUGGUGUUGGGGAUCGGCGAGCCUCCGCGCCCGCCGUCCCCUAAAUCUAGUGGCGGUCUCGCUGUAGCUUCCUCUGCGUAGUAGCACACCUCGCACUGGGAAACAGCGCGGCCACGCCGUUAAACCCCCAACUUCUGAACGUUUGACCUCGGAUCAGGUAGGAAUACCCGCUGAACUUAAGCAUAUCAAUAAGCGAAGGA